CAUCUAAAUGUGAAUGGAAGGAUAGCAUUUCCAACUUGAAGUUUUCUGUUUGUGACGUACCAGUGUCCAAGUGAAAUUACCCUUCUCUACUAAUGCAAAGAUGACGGCUCAGCAUGUACACACAGCAUAAUGUUACAGGUGCAGUCAGAAGCUCUCUUUUCUUUUUUCUUUUCUUUUCUUUUUGCUUUGUAGGGCCACACCUGAGGCAUAUGGAGGUUUCCAGGCUAGGGGUCUAAUUGGAGCUACUACAGCUGCCAGCCUACACCACAGCACAGAGCAACAAAGGAUCCAAGCUGCAUCUUCGACCCACACCAUAGCUCACAGCAAUGCUGGAUCCUUAACCCACUGAGCAGAGCCAGGGAUCGAACCUGCAACCUCAUGGUUCCUAGUCGGAUUCGUUUCUACUGAGCCACGACGGGAACUCCAUUACGCAGUUUUCUUAAUUCACAUGCCUUUCUUAAUGUACUUCUUAGUUCCCAUUUCUUUUUGAAAAAUCUUUAUUACAGCCUGCUUUGAUAAAAUAUUUUGAAAUAGUGAGUAAAAAUAGAUGAGUGCUAUUAUAAGUUAUGAUUCUUUUAAAAUGGCUCCCAGCUCUUGUAGUAAAUUCAAAAGUAAAGGAUUUAUCUGAAGUAAAACUGGAUGUUUUCCUGAUUUUUAAAGUUUGGAAGAAAUUCUUCUGUUUGUAACCAUCUUAUAUUUCUAAAAUGUUCAAAUGAUUGCCUCGGAAUUUGGAGACAAAAUAUUCUUUUUUUUUUUUCCCCCUUGAACUUGAAUGCUGAGAACUUGGAUGUUUUAAAUGAGCAAUUUGCCAGCAGAUGACGAUUCAUUCCAGAUAAAAGAGAUACCAAGUACAGUAAAAUCUGUGUUUGCUAACCAGCAAAAUCUGGAAAAUCGCAUUUUUGAGAUUCCCCAGACAAAAUUUCAAUCUAAUAAAUGCCAGUAGGACUAACUGAAAUAGGGUAGGGUGAAUAUGGUAAAAUUAGAUUAAGGUUGCUAGAUAUUUAGUACGUAUUCUUCUGCUAAUUUUAAGAAUCCCAUAGAGUUUUUGCAGACAAAAAUUAUAUACCUGUAUAAAUCAUGGCAUUUUCCUUCCUUUACCAGACUGUGAAGGGAAAGUGGGAGAU
rnacentral:lncRNA from 1 species